CGGACGGGUGAGUAAUGCAUAGGAAUCUGCCUAGUAGUGGGGGGACAACCUGGUGAAAACCACGCUAAUACCGCAUACGCCCUACGGGGGAAAGCGGGGGAUCUUCGGACCUCGCGCUAAUAGAUGAGCCUGCGUUGGAUUAGCUAGUUGGUAGGGUAAAGGCCUACCAAGGCGACGAUCCAUAGCUGUUCUGAGAGGAAGAUCAGCCACACUGGGACUGAGACACGGCCCAG
rnacentral:rRNA from 1 species